rnacentral:ncRNA from 3 species
CAGUCGACUCAUAAGAAAUUGUGACCUGUGUCAGUAAUGACAUACGGAAAAAUCGGAUGAAUUGCUGGAAAGCUAAAAGAUAGCGAUAUCUCAUGCCAAUCAGCAGCCAAGCUCUUCAAGCGUGAAGAGAAGGUUCAGAGACUAGAUGGUUCAGCACGACCUUGCUGUGUAAUACAUCACUAGCGUCCGACAUCCUAUCGCUCUGCGAGGAUGAUGAUAUAGUCCAGGCCUUUACGAAAGUAUCGG